rnacentral:rRNA from 1 species
CAGGCCUAACACAUGCAAGUCGAACGGUGGGUAACCACAGUGGCAAACGGGUGCGUAACGCGUAAGCAACCUGCCUCAAACUGGGGGAUAGCCCGGCGAAAGCUGGGGUAAACCCGCACGGUCCCAAGAGGUCACCUGGUUUUUUGGGUAAACAUUGAUGGGUUUGAGAGGGGCUUGCGUCUGAUUAGCUAGUUGGCAGGGUAACGGCCUACCAAGGCGAUGAUCAGUAGGGGUUCUGAGAGGAUUGGCCCCCACAUGGGUACUGAGAUACGGACCCAACUCCUACGGGAGGCAGCAGUAGGGAAUAUUGGGCAAUGGGCGCAAGCCUGACCCAGCCAUGCCGCGUGGAGGAUGAAGGCGCUCAGCGUUGUAAACUUCUUUUAUCGGUGAAGAACGUACUCUAUGCGUAGGGUAGUGACGGUAGCCGAGGAAUAAGCACCGGCUAACUCCGUGCCAGCAGCCGCGGUAAU